rnacentral:rRNA from 1 species
UACGUAGGGAGCAAGCGUUGUUCGGAUUUACUGGGCGUAAAGGGCGCGUAGGCGGCAAUUCAAGUCAGCUGUGAAAUCUCCGGGCUUAACUCGGAACGGUCAGCUGAUACUGCUUUGCUAGAGUGCGGAAGGGGCAACUGGAAUUCUCGGUGUAGCGGUGAAAUGCGUAGAGAUCGGGAGGAACACCAGAGGCGAAGGCGGCGCCUGGACAGGUACUGACACUCAACUACGAAAGCGUGGGGAGCAAACAGG